rnacentral:rRNA from 1 species
GACGAACGCUGGCGGCGUGCUUAACACAUGCAAGUCGAACGGAAAGGCCCUGCUUUUGUGGGGUGCUCGAGUGGCGAACGGGUGAGUAACACGUGAGUAACCUGCCCUUGACUUUGGGAUAACUUCAGGAAACUGGGGCUAAUACCGGAUAGGAGCUCCUGCUGCAUGGUGGGGGUUGGAAAGUUUCGGCGGUUGGGGAUGGACUCGCGGCUUAUCAGCUUGUUGGUGGGGUAGUGGCUUACCAAGGCUUUGACGGGUAGCCGGCCUGAGAGGGUGACCGGCAAAAUUGGGACUGAGAUACGGCCCAGACUGCUACGGGAGGCAGCAGUGGGGAAUAUUGCACAAUGGGCGGAAGCCUGAUGCAGCAACGCCGCGUGCGGGAUGACGGCCUUCGGGUUGUAAACCGCUUUCGCCUGUGACGAAGCGUGAGUGACGGGAAUGGGUAAAGAAGCACCGGCUAACUACGUGCCAGCCGCCGCCGUAACAC